UACAGAGGUCCCAAGCGUUGUUCGGAUUCACUGGGCGUAAAGGGUGCGUAGGUGGUGGGGUAAGUCGGAUGUGAAAGCUCGGAGCUCAACUCCGAAAUGGCAUUGGAAACUACCCUGCUAGAGGAUUGGAGGGGGGACUGGAAUACUUGGUGUAGCAGUGAAAUGCGUAGAUAUCAAGUGGAACACCAGUGGCGAAGGCGAGUCCCUGGACAAUACCUGACACUGAGGCACGAAAGCCAGGGGAGCAAACGGGG
rnacentral:rRNA from 1 species